rnacentral:rRNA from 1 species
AUUGAACGCUGGCGGCAUGCCUUACACAUGCAAGUCGAACGGCAGCGGGGGAGAAGCUUGCCUUUCCUGCCGGCGAGUGGCGAACGGGUGAGUAAUACAUCGGAACGUGCCCUGUAGUGGGGGAUAACUAGUCGAAAGAUUAGCUAAUACCGCAUACGACCUGAGGGUGAAAGUGGGGGACCGCAAGGCCUCAUGCUAUAGGAGCGGCCGAUGUCUGAUUAGCUAGUUGGUGGGGUAAAGGCCUACCAAGGCGACGAUCAGUAGCUGGUCUGAGAGGACGAUCAGCCACACGGGGACUGAGACACGGCCCAGACUCCUACGGGAGGCAGCAGUGGGGAAUUUUGGACAAUGGGCGAAAGCCUGAUCCAGCAAUGCCGCGUGUGUGAAGAAGGCCUUCGGGUUGUAAAGCACUUUUGUCCGGAGCGAAAAGGCUCUCUCUAAUACAGGGGGCUGAUGACGGUACCGUAAGAAUAAGCACCGGCUAACUACGUGCCAGCCGCCGCCGUAA